UACAGAGGUCCCAAGCGUUGUUCGGAUUCACUGGGCGUAAAGGGUGCGUAGGCGGUCGGGUAAGUCUGAUGUGAAAUCUCACAGCUUAACUGUGAAACUGCAUUGGAUACUAUCCGGCUCGAGGAAUGGAGGGGAGACUGGAAUACUUGGUGUAGCAGUGAAAUGCGUAGAUAUCAAGUGGAACACCAGUGGCGAAGGCGAGUCUCUGGACAGUUACUGACGCUGAGGCACGAAAGCGAGGGGAGCAAACGGG
rnacentral:rRNA from 1 species